rnacentral:rRNA from 1 species
AUUGAACGCUGGCGGCAUGCCUUACACAUGCAAGUCGAACGAUAACACGUCUUCGGUUGCUGUCGGGCGUCGGCCGGGGGCGUGUUACUAACACACGUGUCCACUCGUUGGGGAUCACGAGUCAAAACCUUAGAUCAUACCUCAUACGAUCUAAGGUAGUGAGCCGGGGGCCGCAAGACUUUGAGAGGUUGGUGCGGCCGAUGGCAGAUUAGGUAGUUGGUGGGAUAAAAGCUUACCAAGCCGACGAUUUGUAGCUGGUCUGAGAGGAUGACCAGCCACACUGGAACUGAGACACGGCCCAGACUCCUACGGGAGGCAGCAGUGGGGAAUUUUGGACAAUGGGCGAAAGCCUGAUCGAGCAAUGCCGCGUGAAGGAUGAAGGCCUUCGGAUUGUAAAAUGCUGUUAUUCGGAAAGAAAAGACUCUGGCUAAUACCUGGAGCACAUGACGGUACCGAAAGAGAAAGCACCGGCUAACUACGUG